UGAUAAAUUAAAAUUCUGUGUAAAUCAACUUACUGGGAAUUGACAUUACAUGUAAAUACUUAGUUUGAAUAGUCCACAAUUUCAUUUGUAAGUUCAAGAUUAGUGUCCAGGACUCCAGGUAAUACAAUUGUUAUGCUGUAAGUAAGGUCUACGGCCUUUUUAUUUAGCGUAGAUAGUAAAUGCUUUAUAUCAGAAAGCUUAUUCUUGAAAGAUAGAAGACAUUAAACUCUAGAAACACCAAUGAAGUUCUGGUCUAAAGACCCAACAUAAAGCUUUCCUUUAUAUUCUUGAACUUCAGUUAUCCCAUUAGGACUAUUAUACUGAUCUGUGAAAUUACAUGUUUCCACGACCCUUCCGAAUCGAUUGAUCCUUUGUCCUAGUGAAAAUGUAGUAGGUUGUUUGGUGUUGAAAAUAGCCACCCAAAAGUCCCCCAACACAGUCCUCUUAAUGUUAUCUGGAAUUCCAUCAACAUUUGCGAAAACAUCUGAUGAAUUUGCUUUUGUGCCUUUGAGCCAAAACCUCUGAAUUCUUUGAGUAAUAUAUUCUGUGAUCAAGACAUAUGAAUUAUCUUUGCUGAGUGCCACCCCAACUGGCCCUGACAGUCCACUUAGCAAUAAUGUGACCUGUUUUGUUCCUAUAUCAUACUUGAACAAUCUCCCUAUGUAUCUCCGCUUUCAGCUACUCUAGUCCUGUUGCUGCCAAAAGUUUUCAAGUUAUUUUGCUUGAGUUAGUGUCCCCUCUUUCUUAAGAAUAUUCAAUGUAAUAUUAGAAAAAUUAAAUUGGACAUAAAGAUAAGUUUUUGAGCAACUAACCCAGUCAGGAAUAUAGCUCCUGAAUCUACAAAAUAAACUACUCCGUUAUUUUGGUCAAUAUCUAGUGCAUCGAGAAAAGCAAAAUGCCUGCCCUGAAAGCUAGUAACACGUGUAACAAGCCCUCCGCUUGGUCCAACCACCACGAGUCCAUAAAAUGCAUCAGUUAUAGGUCACCAGUUCUGUAGUAAAAUUCAAGGCCAAAUGGUCUUCCACAUAUUUGUUGUAAUUCUGGACCAUUUUUUCCAUCACAUCUUGCCUUGGUCCUGAAUAGGAAUAGUAUAGGGAAAACAAAAGAAUAUCAAACUUUGAGUAUGUAAGUAGAUGAAGGAGGAGUUUACUCUAUUUUAAUGUGAAAAAUUUACCUAUUUGGUGAUGUAACAGCAAAAUCAGUGAAGGCAACUUUUGGACCUUGAUAUUUGACUAUUCUGCCAUCUGCAAUACCUGUGUGAGGUCCACCACCUUUUCUAUCGAAAGCAGAAGCCUCGGGGCCUAUGGUUUGUAAUGGAAGUUGGAGCUUGCUAAAUGCAGGAAAUCGACACCAAGCCAUGCUGGGAGAAACAUUUAGCAUGAUCCAAAUCUGGACGAACAAUACUGUUUUUCUAAUUGAGAAUGUUUCCAUCUUUCUGGUGUACUCAGUAAAACGAUAUGCUGUUGAUACUUAUACUAGCAAUAGCCCACCGCUCCUAGCAUGUUAAAGAAAAUAGUUGAGCCUAACACCCUUCCCCCUCCCUCCCUCCCCGCCAGAUUUGGUUAGAUGAUAUCAUAUUAAAAGAAAAGAUAGUGGGUCUAACUCAACCAUAUCAAAAGUUAGAUCGAUGUUUGUCCAAGAUCAUAUAAGGAGACAACUCAUUUCCUCAACCAAUGUGAGACAAUCUAACACAACAAUAAUAAAUCUUACAGUGAGGUUAUGCUGAUUUGACAUAUAAAGUGUUAUGAAGUGAAAACCUAUAUGUGUAAAAUAAACAAUUACAGACAGGGUUAUGUACAUUUCCAAAUUCGGGAUUUUAACGAAGAAAUCACAACAUCAAAAUUAUUAAUCUGCCACCGAUCAAGAGCCUCUUAUUUACUAGUUUCCCUCUCUUUUUGAGUUGACAAUGGGGGACGUGGGGUGGGGUGGGGGUGGGCGGCUAUUGAAAGAAAAUUUCAAUGUCAAACCUCUGUGGUCACCUAGCCAUAUAAUUAGCUAGCUUCAGCUACAGAGACUUUCCCAAGUUAAGUAACUAAUCCUAUUUACCUGCAGAACCAUUUCAAUAACUAAACUAGAUGAGAUGAAUUGUUAUAAUAUUUCAAAUCAUUCAUGGCACCAAAACAUUAUAAAGUUUUUCUAAAAAAAAUUGUAGUUGUUUCAUCAAUAGUCCAGCAGACGUCUCCAAUAAUUGUGUAUAAUAUUUUCAUUGGUUUCAAGAAACUUUAGUUUUUUCAUCAAUAUGAUACAAACUAGACCUGCCACCAAGUGUGAUUCCUAUUCCAAUAGGUGAGUAGAAAUGUCAAAAGUACUCAGGAUGAAAAGAAACACUAAAAUUUUGUAUACAUUAACCAACUGGGAAUUGAUAUUACAUGGAAAAUGCAUAAUUUUAUUAGUAAGAAAUUACUUUUGUAGGUUCAAGAUCACUAUGCAGAUAAGUACAGAUGAUAAGUUGUAUCUUCAUAAACCACUUACCAUCCAAAACAACUCUGGAUGAGAUUGAUGAUAUUUGGUUCAUAGUCCUACCAGUAGUCCAAUUGUAAUGGUAAAACAAGUCACAGAUCCCUGUGGAUGUCUGAAACUAGAUCUGCUACCAAGUGUGGUUUGUAUCCCAAUAGACGGCUUAAAUAUCCAAAGUGCUUUGGGUAAUUGAUAAAUUAAAAUUCUGUGUAAAUCAACUAACUGGGAAUUGACAUUACAUGAAAAUGCUUAGUUUGAAUAGUCCACAAUUUCAUUUGUAAGUUCAAGAUUAGUGUCUAGGUAAUACAAUUGUUAUGCUGUAAGUAAGGUCUACAGCCUUUUUAUUUAGUGUAGAUAGUAAAUGCUUUAUAUCAUAAAGCUUAUUCUUGAAAGAUAGAGGACAUCAAACUCCAAAAACACCAAUGAAGUUCUGGUCUAAAGACCCAACAUAUAGCUUUCCUUUAUAUUCUUGAACUUCAGUUAUCCCAUUAGGGCUUUUAUAUUGAGCUGUGAAAUUACAUGUUUCCACGACUUUUCCGAAUCUAUUGAUCCUUUGUCCUAGUGAAAAUGUAGUACGUUGUUUGGUGUUGGAAAUAGCCACCCAAAAGUCCCCCAACACAGUCCUCUUAAUGUUAUCUGGAAUUCCAUCAACAUUUGCAAAAACAUCUGAUGAAUUUGCUUUUGCGCCUUUGAGCCAAAACCUCCGAAUUCUCUGAGCAAUAGAUUCUGUGAUCAAGACAUAUGAGUUAUCUUUGCUGAGUGCUAC
rnacentral:lncRNA from 1 species